AUGAGAGGGAUGCUCCUGUGACCUCUGCCAUUCAUUCACCUCCAGGGUUGAAUCAGCUGGGUAGGCAGAAGUUCUUUUUCUCCCUCACGGUUCUUCGCAUCCUCCAGGAGCUGUGCACUCAGUCGAAGAGGAUGACCUUCUCCGUAGAUGAGGACUGCUCUUUGGCCAAGGACAUAGGAGUAGCUGAGCCUUCUGGCUGNAACUGCCCAACAAGCUAAAGGUCUGGAUCUGCNUGCAGCAUCUGUUCACU
rnacentral:snRNA from 1 species